GCUUUCAGUCCGUUCGUGCAUUAGUAAAUCUGCCCCUAUAACUGGAAUGAUACAGAGAAGAUUAACAUGGCCCCUGCGCAAGGAGGACAUGCAAAUUCAUGAAACAUUCGCUGCAAGG
ensembl:snRNA U6 U6 spliceosomal RNA